AACGAACGCUGGCGGCAUGCCUAACACAUGCAAGUCGAACGAGACCUUCGGGUCUAGUGGCGCACGGGUGCGUAACGCGUGGGAACCUGCCCUUAGGUUCGGAAUAACUCCCCGAAAGGGGUGCUAAUACCGGAUAAUGUCUUCGGACCAAAGAUUUAUCGCCUUUGGAUGGGCCCGCGUUGGAUUAGCUAGUUGGUAGGGUAAAAGCCUACCAAGGCGACGAUCCAUAGCUGGUCUGAGAGGAUGAUCAGCCACACUGGGACUGAGACACGGCCCAGACUCCUACGGGAAGCAGCAGUGGGGAAUAUUGGAGAAUGGGCGAAAGACUGAUCCAGCAAUGCCGCGUGAGUGAUGAAGGCCUUAGGGUUGUAAAGCUCUUUUACCCGGGAUGAUAAUGACAGUACCGGGAGAAUAAGCUCCGGCUAACUCCGUG
rnacentral:rRNA from 1 species